rnacentral:ncRNA from 2 species
CUACCGAUUGGGCGUGACGGUCCCCGUGGCGCCCGAUGGGCGGGACGGGGUGCAAAAGGGAACGCGGUGCGCCCGGGAUCGGGCAAGGCCGCGACUGCCCCCGCAACUGUAGGCGGCGAGCGACCCGAAACAGCCACUGGGCCGAUGGCCCGGGAAGGUUCGGCAAGCGACGACCCGCAAGUCAGGAGACCUGCCGUCACCGUGGCUCCGUU